GGUGGAUGAUGCUUUUGCUGCACCCUGAUUGUUGACAAAUGACUGAUAAUCUGGAACAAAUGAAACUGUGAGGGCUUGUAUCUCAAUCGAUCGAUCUAACCUGACCCAAAAUUGCAGUAUUGCACGUCCUCUGUAAGCUUGAUCCGUAAACAGGGCAAGGCUUAUUAUCCAUUAAGUUAGCCCAAAAAUAGUUGGAUUGAUAGGAGGAACACGUCUUACAAUGAUAUUCCCUCAAAGCCUAUAUAGCUUCAAGUAAUCCCAAUUCCCAGAGGACCGUUUAGGUGACCGUGUUGAUUACUUCUCCAUCAAAAUUUAAGUUUGAGUAGAGCUUUCCGGCAGGGGAUCCUAAGAUCGUUAUAGUGA
rnacentral:misc_RNA from 1 species